UACGAAGGGGGCUAGCGUUGCUCGGAAUUACUGGGCGUAAAGCGCACGUAGGCGGAUUGUUAAGUCGGGGGUGAAAUCCUGGAGCUCAACUCCAGAACUGCCUUCGAUACUGGCGAUCUCGAGUUCGGGAGAGGUGAGUGGAACUGCGAGUGUAGAGGUGAAAUUCGUAGAUAUUCGCAAGAACACCAGUGGCGAAGGCGGCUCACUGGACUGGUAUUGACGCUGAGGUGCGAAAGCGUGGGGAGCAAACAGG
rnacentral:rRNA from 1 species